rnacentral:misc_RNA from 1 species
UAGAUAUAAAUAUAUGAUAUGCGUAAACAUGUAUAUUAUUUGAUUGAAUUUUAAAAAAAUAAUAUGGGUUUUAGUUCACAAGAUAAAUCGCAGUUUAGAACAUAAAGAACUUAUUUUACGUUGUGAUGUUUCUGAAAUCCUUGAAAAUUGUGGAUCAAUAGUCAAUACAAGGACAAAUACCUCAUAUAAAUCAAAGUGAAAACGCUGAUAUAAUAUUGUAUAAUAUUUAAAUUCAAAGAACGGUUUAAUGGAAUGAAAUGUGUUUCUGAUCGUUUUACAUUUUUAAGCCCGAAAUCAAUUUUUUACAAUGAUAAGUCUUUCUUAAUUAAAUCCUCUUAUGAUUUCAUUCCAUACAAGUUAAAAUACUAAAAAAGUACUGAUUAAUUGCCGUAGUAAUACAAAAAACAAUAAUAUCAAUUUGGGGCAUCCAAAUAAAUUUUGCACACGGGCCUCAGAGUUAAUAGUUGCGGCACUGGGAAAAAUGUUAGGGCGCACUUAUAUAAUACAACGCCGACGCUAAGUGAUGAUAAUGAUUUUGAAAAAUAUUAAUUUGCAUAAUUAUUAAUUUUAACAUAUUAUUCAUAUAAAAUAAUUAUGUAUGCUGAAAUUGAAAAUAGGAUUCAAAAUUGUAAAAAAAUUAUUGUCUGACUUAUCUACAAAUAAGUGUAAUACCGCCCCGAUACCGACUUUAAUUAACUAUUUCAGAUUUCAGAUAUUUUAAUGAAAACAAUAUCAGGACAGUAUGUGAUGCACUGAUGCUCCUAGAUCCGUGUUUGUGUAGGCGAUUGGCCUUUACCUUAUAUCAUCGACUGGGUUCCAUAGACGGAUUAGGUUAGGAAUACGCCGUUAGCGCCGUUGAUAACCGACGAGACGUCUGGAUCAUUCCGACUUCAAUCUCACUGACUCGCCGCCGCGGCAUGACGACCGGACAGCCGCAGCUGCGCGCGCAUUCGGUUAUUGAUAUCCACCGGUGUCGUUCCUAUUGUCGAAUAACAAUGCGGUGUCUUAUGGUGUUUGACAAUUUAAACGACAUCGUGUUCAUGAAAUGUGACACGAAAUUCUGCCAACACAUUCGGAAAAUUGGAAUCGCGCAGGACCUUAUAAAACCAACAGAGAAUGAAAAUGAAAACUGUGAAAGAAUCGAUCCAGAUCUAAUACUUCAGAUUUUUUCACCGAUGGUUACAUCUCAGAGAAUUAUGAAUUGUCAUUUUUCAAAUCGGUAUACCUCAAUGCAAUGUCAAAAUGGAACAAAUAUUGUUUUUGAUGAGUACUUAGGUCAUUUGUUCAUUUAUAUUAGUGACAAGGAGGUGUCUUGGCAACAAAAAGUACUUAGUGUAUCAAUUUUAUUUAUAAAAAGAAUUUGUGGUUCUGACGUUUCAUUAUUGAAAUAUAGUCGCCGUCGCCGUUUCCUGGUUUCUAAGCUUUUAGAUGUUUGGUUAAAACGUUCUAGUGAAGAACAGUGUGUAUUAAUUGAAGCUGUUGAACAACUGACUGUCAGUGCAGAACUUUCUACAGCUGCAUUAACAGCCGCUAAAACUGCAGCCGAAAAAAUGAAAACAAAAUCUGCCUUUUCUAGGGUCCAUGUACUUAUAAUGGUUCGACAAAAAUUUUUGACUUUGUAUUCUAGUCGUAAUGCAACUGAUCUGACUGCAGGCGAUACAUUAUUUUUAGCACUCUUAGCUGAGGCUAUACAAUCGGUUGAUUCAGAACCCAAGGAUAAAUCAGAUCUUGAUGUAAUUAUUGUGGAAAAAGACGAUUCACUGCAGCUAGAAAAUAAUACCCCACUGCCACGAAACAAAAUUAACAGCUUACUGAUUCUUUUGGGUCAAAAUGGGUUAAAAUUAAAUGCUGUACAUUUAUCAUACAUUACUGAUGGUGUUCCAUUAUUUAUCAUUCAUGAGAUUGGCAAUGAUGUUUUUAAUACCAGUGUAAUUGAUUCAUUAACAUCAUUUUGCACAAUACAGGAAAUCCAAAUUCGAGGAACUAUAGACCGCGAAGCACUUAAAAUUGCUUAUGAUACAGUAGAUAGUUCCAUGAAAAAAAUUAUUGAUUUAUUUAAAAAGAAAAAUGCCCCAUUUGCUCCAACUCGAAGUGUACUUGCUAUAAUUACCACUUUAGCUACUAGAUGGGAGCCACUGAAAAAGAAAUACAUAGAGUACUUUAAAAAUAAUGAUAGUUCAUCAUUAAUUGCUAUAGAAUCGAGCAACAUGAAUAUUAUAUGUAGUUUAAAAGAUUUGCAUCAUCAUUGUAUGCUCAACGAAUCAUUAAUUGAUAAUUAUACAAAAGAGGCAGUGAGUGAAGCAUCUGCAAUGGUUGCUGUAAUGCUACGUGAUUAUACAUCAUUUUUUGAGGUGAAAGCGAUGAACAAUUUUACAAUGAGAUCAAGGUCGACAUUGAAUAUUAAUAAAUAUUUAGAAGAAUUCCCAGGUCUAGUACAUUUCAUUUAUGUAGAUCGAAUGUCUCAUCGAAUGAUAGCUCCAGGGUUGGAGUUUGCAUCACAAGAAACACUUGAACUCACUAAAAAAAAGGUAAAAAGAAUAAGUUAUUUCACGAAUUAACUAAAUAGGUAUGGUCCAUGGUUGAUUUUAGUAGACAGCAUUUAAGAGAUGGACAUUUUAUUGUUCUAUGGAAAGAUAGCACUUUUACAUAUUCCUAUUUUUUGUGGUUUGAGGAUCAAUCAGGUACAUCAUUAAAGCCAAGAG